rnacentral:lncRNA from 1 species
CACACAAUCAGUUACCUCCUGAAUGUAUUGUCUCUAUUUCCAAUAUGUGAAUACACAAGGAAACUAUAAUCUCUUCCUUCACCUUAUCGGUCUCUUCUUUACAGUAAUUUAGUCAUACCAAUAACUACUAUUUCCACCAAUAUAUUCACCCUCAUAAUCUCCAACUGUAAUACUACGCCCUCACAGCUUUCAGCACACAAUUACCUUCAUUCCAAUCACUAGAAUUCUUCACACAGAACUGCAAUUCACAUUACGGUAUUUCAUACAAACACAGACUCAUUCUCUCUACUGAACUACAAUCAGAUUUCAGCAUUCACUCUUUCUUCUUUUCAAAUAAUACCAAUCACAUUUCCAUUCCAUAAUUCACUUCACAAUAUUCAGAAACUCUCAAUCCUCUUAUUCAAAGAAAAUAACAAAGAAAAAAAAAGAAGUAGCACCAAGCUUACCCCGGCUCA